GCAUCGGUAGUCUAACGGUAGGAUUUCGGCCUUCCAUUCCAAAAGCAGGCUUUUGUAAUGCUUCAGAAGCCUGCUUCAGAAGCAAGCCGGUGGUCCGGGUUCAAAUCCCGGCCGAUGCA
rnacentral:tRNA from 1 species